UCUCCCUUCGUCUAAUGGUAGGACAAAGGACUCUGAAUCCUUGAAUCUAGGUUCGAAACCUAGGGGGAGAACCA
rnacentral:tRNA from 1 species